GACGAACGCUGGCGGCGUGCUUAACACAUGCAAGUCGAACGAAGAGCGAUGGAAGCUUGCUUCUAUCAAUCUUAGUGGCGAACGGGUGAGUAACGCGUAAUCAACCUGCCCUUCAGAGGGGGACAACAGUUGGAAACGACUGCUAAUACCGCAUACGAUCUAAUCUCGGCAUCGAGGAUAGAUGAAAGGUGGCCUCUACAUGUAAGCUAUCACUGAAGGAGGGGAUUGCGUCUGAUUAGCUAGUUGGAGGGGUAACGGCCCACCAAGGCGAUGAUCAGUAGCCGGUCUGAGAGGAUGAACGGCCACAUUGGGACUGAGACACGGCCCAGACUCCUACGGGAGGCAGCAGUGGGGAAUCUUCCGCAAUGGACGAAAGUCUGACGGAGCAACGCCGCGUGAGUGAUGACGGCCUUCGGGUUGUAAAGCUCUGUUAAUCGGGACGAAAGGCCUUCUUGCGAACAGUGAGAAGGAUUGACGGUACCGGAAUAGAAAGCCC
rnacentral:rRNA from 1 species